rnacentral:lncRNA from 1 species
UGACAGUGGAAGGCUCUCCUGAGUGCCUCCCUGGCCUCAUUAGCACCUCACUCACUGCUGGGGCCCAGAGUACUAAGAUGGAAAAGCACCGCACAGAGUUCUGGGAUUCUCAGCUGGCCUCACUGCUGAGCACUUCAACAAACACUUUAAUUAUAGGAGUCCAACCUGAGUUCUAAAGGAGAUCAGUCUUGGGUGUUCAUUGGAAGGACUGAUGCUAAA